rnacentral:sRNA from 1 species
GAGAAGGGGUACACCACAGAGAGAUGGGAGUUUCUGCCAACUUUUCAACCAACCUAUGAAGACCUUGUUUACUGGACCUGGAAUCUAAGGAUCUGAAAGAAUAUGGCAAGUA